rfam:TPA: Bos taurus chromosome 16, whole genome shotgun sequence.
UCCCUGGUAUCUCAGAUGGUAAAGAAUCUGCCUGCAAUGCAGGAGACCCAGGUUCAAUCCCUGGGUCUGGGAG